AAUAGAUUUUUCAUAUUUAAUUCAUACAGCACUUUUAUUUUUAUAUAACAGAGAAUAUAAUUAUUUAAUUUAUAAAGAAUAGUAUAUAAUUUUUAUUUUCUUUUUUUAUAAUAAAAGUUUAGUUAACAUUGAUUUAUAACAAUAUUAUAUUACUAAUUACAAAAUUAAAUAAUAUGAUAUUUUAUAAAAAUAUUUAAAAUUUUCAGUAAGAUUUUCGUAGAUUCUUUUUCUCAACAGAUAUUGUUAUAAUAGAAAAAAUUAAAUUUAUAGUUGAUUUAUUAUUAAUGUAAAUAAUCAAAUAUGUCAUAUUAACUAAUUCUUUAAGUGGUUCUACUAUGUGACUUGUUAAUAGUAGAUAAAAAUAGGACCCUAAAUUAAUAGAUUAGAUAUACAAAUUUGAAAUAAUUAAAAAUACAUGUAAUUUCUAACUUAUUAUGUAUUUCAAAAAAAUAAAUUUUGCAAAAGUUAUAUUCUUAAGUUUGGCACUUAUGAAAUUAUGUGAUUGAAGUUUAUAUGUGAUUUAAGUUUAUUUAACGACAUAGUGUGUUCAUAAUGGCAGGUAUCUCUUAGUAUAACAAAGAUUCAAUCAAGUUAGAGCAAAUUAACAUAUUGCACGAAAAUAAGGUGUAAAAAGAGAUCGUACCUAAUCUAUCUACUUAAGAAAACAGGAACCAAACACAUACAUAUUCUUUGUGUGAUGAUAUUAUGUCAACGAGAAACUUAUAAAUCAACUUAGAGAAAAGUAUCAUCUUUAGUAAAAGAGGUCCAAAUCAAAGUUAUUGUAUUGCUAAUAUAAUUGUAUAUAUACAGUCGGUCUACAUUAAUAGAUUACAUAGAACGUAAUUCGUUUGUUAUACUUAUAAUAGAGUACAUCCAAAAUUAAAUUAAAUCGUGUCAAUAUAUUAGUUCACUUUUAAUAGAUUUAAAUGUUGGUUUAAUGGAAGUUGUCCGGUUCCAUUGUAAUAGCAGUGUGUUAUAUAAUAAUUAGAUUGUAACAAUUUUGAAAUGAUCCAUAAAUUAAGCAGCUUUCUAACAAACUUAAAAUAGUCCAAAACUUAAAUGAACAUUAAUGGUAGAUAAAUUUAGGACUCUAUUUUAAUAGAGUAGAUGGGUUCCAUUUUUAUUGAUGAAUAUUAAUAGUUUAGCAAAAAAAAAUUUGAUUGAAGAAAAUGAUUGCUCAACUUCAAAAUUAAAUAUUCGGAUUCAAAAACUUAAAUUUAAAAUUUAGAUAAAAAAACUACUAAGUAUUUGACCAAGACUGUCUAGGAUGUUAAUACUUAAUACAUUUAAUAAGGGUGAUGAUUGGUUCAACUGUGGCUCUAAAAAUUUAGCUGUAAAAGUUUAGCGGUAGAUCAAUUGAUUUUUUUUGCAGAGACUUUUUAUGUAGUUAAAUUUGUUGUAGCUGUAAAUUAUAGGCAGUAGAUAUUUUAAAAUAAAAUAUGUGAAAUCUGCGAUGUAUAUAUAAAUAAUUAUUUUUAUCAAUUAAAUAAUUUAUAUUAAUUUUUUUAUAAAUUCUCAAAGUUAUUGUUAUUUAAAAUGUGAUAUGUAAAUAAUAUAUAUUUUAUUUAAAAUAUUUCAAUAAUUUUUACAACACCCAAAAUUGAAUUAAAUAUUUAUAGAUGUUUUUAAUUAUGAUUAUCUAAUUUAUUUCAUAUUAUAGAUAAUUUUUUUUAUUUCACAGAUUCUACAGCCUAUAAAAGAAAGCUUUAGGUUUUUUACCUAAAAUACAUUAAAAACAUUUUUGCUUUAGUUUUUUUGCUGUAGCUUUAAAAAUAUAGGUAAAGCAUGAUUGGUAAAAGUUUAUAGAAACUUGAUUUAGGCUUUAACUAUUAAAAAUAAAGUUACAACAUGAUUGGUAAAGUUUAAUGAUUUAAAAGUAAACAAAGCUAAAUUAAGAAGAUAAAUCCCAACCAAUCAUCCCCAAGAUUUUGAAUAGCUGCUAGGAUGUUAAUGCAUUUACCUAGGCAUGAUACUAAAUAUAGGUGAAGUCAAGUGUUUGACCAAAAAUAUGAUAGAAAUGGAUUUAUUUCUUUUCUUAACAAAGCUGAGUCUAGUGGACAAAAAAAAAAAACAAAGCUGAGUCUCGUCAAUUAGAUUAUAAAUAAGUCUCAUUUUGACAGAAAUACUGAAAUGUUUUUUUUGAAAAGGAUAAAGAAGACUUGUUUAUCAAACAGUGUAAAAUUAAAUCAUUAAGAUCGACAUCUCUUACGUAUUUCUUUUAGAAACGUAACUAUGGCAACCAAGAAGUUUUUAUCUCUCAUAUCCUUGAUGGUGUUGGUUUCCAUCUAUCUACCCAUGGUUUCAGGUACAAAAAUUGAAUUGCUCGAAAUAUGAUUUAUCUUUAUAUGUCUAUAGUAUCAUGGUGCAUAGGAGACUCAAUAAUAUUUUCUUUCAAAAUAGGACUUCAUCACCACUUAAAAAGAAGAUAUUAUGGUUAUAUUUUAAUUAAAAACAUGAUAUUUAUAAAUUAGAAAUAAAAAUGUAUACUUAAAAAUAAAAUAUUAAUAAAUUUUAAAUAAAUUCAGCAUGCUUACAUGGAAAAACCCUAACUGGUUUACAAAUAAUAAUAUUACCAUUUUCUUUCUUCAAUUUAAAAAUAGAAGGAAAAAAAGGUAU